rnacentral:rRNA from 1 species
UGCAAGUCGAGCGAACUGAUUAGAAGCUUGCUUCUAUGACGUUAGCGGCGGACGGGUGAGUAACACGUGGGCAACCUGCCUGUAAGACUGGGAUAACUUCGGGAAACCGAAGCUAAUACCGGAUAGGAUCUUCUCCUUCAUGGGAGAUGAUUGAAAGAUGGUUUCGGCUAUCACUUACAGAUGGGCCCGCGGUGCAUUAGCUAGUUGGUGAGGUAACGGCUCACCAAGGCAACGAUGCAUAGCCGACCUGAGAGGGUGAUCGGCCACACUGGGACUGAGACACGGCCCAGACUCCUACGGGAGGCAGCAGUAGGGAAUCUUCCGCAAUGGACGAAAGUCUGACGGAGCAACGCCGCGUGAGUGAUGAAGGCUUUCGGGUCGUAAAACUCUGUUGUUAGGGAAGAACAAGUACGAGAGUAACUGCUCGUACCUUGACGGUACCUAACCAGAAAGCCACGGCUAACUACGUGCCAACACCCCCGGUAAUACGUAGGUGGCAAGCGUUAUCCGGAAUUAUUGGGCGUAAAGCGCGCGCAGGCGGUUUCUUAAGUCUGAUGUGAAAGCCCCCGGCUCAAC